UACGGAGGGUGCAAGCGUUAAUCGGAAUUACUGGGCGUAAAGCGCACGCAGGUGGCUGAGUCAGUCGAUUGUGAAAGCCCUGGGCUUAACCUGGGAAUUGCAGUCGAUACUACUCAGCUAGAGUAUGGGAGAGGGCAGUGGAAUUCCCGGUGUAGCGGUGAAAGUGCGUAGAUAUCGGGAGGAACAUCAGUGGCGAAGGCGGCUGCCUGGCCCAAUACUGACACUCAGGUGCGACAGCGUGGGGAGCAACAGGAUUAGAUACCCAGAC
rnacentral:rRNA from 1 species